GUUCUGAAACCAACAUUAAGAAAUCUCCAAGGAGCCUACAAACAAUAUCAAUGCUUGCUCUCCUGAAGAUACCUGGCAAAUAUGCAAAGAAGGCAAAGGCAAUGAGAGAAGAUGAGAUACUAAGCCAAUGCCAACCACUACCCACCUCCACACUGUCCUUGUGUAAGACAAACGCUAGCAAACUUGAGCCAA